GACGAACGCUGGCGGCGUGCCUAAUACAUGCAAGUCGAACGCAGUGGGGACGGUUGAGUAACACGUGGGUUACCUCCCAUCAGAGGGGAUAACACUUGGAAACAGGUGCUAAACCGAUAUUGAUUGAUAGACACGCGGUUGAUUAGCUAGGUGGUGAGGUAAAGGCUCACCAAGUCCACGAUGCAUAGCGGACCUGGGAGGGUGAUCGGCCACACUGGGACGGAGACACGGCCCAGACUCCUACGGGAGGCAGCAGUAGGGAAUCUUCGGCAAUGGACGAAAGUCUGACCGAGCAACGCCGCGGGAGUGAAGAAGGUUUUCGGAUCGUAAAACUCUGUUGUUAGAGAAGCGGUAUCUAACCAGAAAGCCACGGCUAACUCCGUGCCAGCAGCCGCGGUAAUUC
rnacentral:rRNA from 1 species